CUAGUGGAAGUUGGGAGCCUCAUCGAAGAAGGCUUCGCAAGUGGAUGUAGGUUGCAUGACCGAACCACUAUAAAUCGGUUUGCGUUUAUCUUAUUGUCAUUUAUAUUACUGUAAACCAUCUUCACUUUGAUGCUCUACUUCUUUGUCUCCUUCUUACGUAUGCCUUCAAGUUAAAACGCAAUCGAAACGGUUUCAAACGAAACGUUGCUUUUAUCGUACGAAGUUUCCGAAAGUGUUUAAAUCGUCGAAAGUUUAUCAUACUUUACCGCUGCACUAAUUCACCCUCCCCUCUUAGUGCCG
rnacentral:lncRNA from 1 species